rnacentral:rRNA from 1 species
GUGGGGAAUAUUGGACAAUGGGCGAAAGCCUGAUCCAGCCAUGCCGCGUGUGUGAAGAAGGUCUUCGGAUUGUAAAGCACUUUAAGUUGGGAGGAAGGGUAGUAACCUAAUACGUUGCUACUUUGACGUUACCGACAGAAUAAGCACCGGCUAACUUCGUGCCAGCAGCCGCGGUAAUGCGAAGGGUGCAAGCGUUAAUCGGAAUUACUGGGCGUAAAGCGCGCGUAGGUGGUUCAGUAAGUUGGAAGUGAAAUCCCCGGGCUCAACCUGGGAACUGCUUUCAAAACUGCUGAGCUAGAGUACGGUAGAGGGUGGUGGAAUUUCCUGUGUAGCGGUGAAAUGCGUAGAUAUAGGAAGGAACACCAGUGGCGAAGGCGACCACCUGGACUGAUACUGACACUGAGGUGCGAAAGCGUGGGGAGCAAACAGGAUUAGAAACCCCUGUAGUCC